rnacentral:tRNA from 2 species
GCCGGGAUGGUCUAAUCGGUUAAGGUGUCGCCCCGCACAGGCGAAGGCUGCGGGCUCGAUCCCUCCUUCUGGCA